rnacentral:ncRNA from 1 species
GAAAGAUGAAAAGAACUCUGAAGAGAGAGUUCAACAGUACGUGAAAUUGCUGAAAGGGAAACGCUUGAAACGAUUGUUGCUUUUGGUUUCGGCCUUGAGCGAGUCAGCAGCAGUUUUAAACGGUAAAGAAGUGCUUGUGGAAGGUAGUUUUCUUUGGAAAAUGUUAUAGCCAUAAGUAACUGUGCCGGUUAGGACUGAGGAUCGCUUUUAAGUGUCUUGUCGAGGAAUUUUGGGCCGUUAGCGCCAAGGCCUUGGGCUUGCUCAAGACUUGGUGUUAACUGUUCAGGACGACCAAACACAAGGCCUUAAAAUAGGUUGCUGACAAAAUGGUUUUAAUCGACCCGUCUUGAAACACGG